ensembl:lncRNA
GGUUCAGUCCCUGGGUCAGAAAGAUCCCCUGAAGUAGGAAAUGGCAACCCACUCCAGUAUUCUUGCCUGGGAAAAUUCCAUGGACAGAGAAGCCUUGUGGACUACAGUCCAUGGGGCUGAAAAAGUAGUACAUGGUUGAGCAAUUAAAUGCCCACACACACUGUAGGUCCAUGAAUGAAUGAAGCAGGACAAAGGCUAAUAGAGUUUUGCCAAGAAAAUGCACUGGUCAUAACAAACACCCUCUUCCAAAAACACAAGAGAAGACUCUAUACAUGGACAUCACCAGAUGGUCAACACCAAAAUCAGAUUGAUUAUAUUCUUUGCAGCCAAAGAUGGAGAAGCUCUAUACGGUCAGCAAAAACAAGACCAGGAGCUGACUGUGGCUCAGACCAUGAACUCCUUAUUGCCAAAUUCAGACUUAAAUUGAAGAAAGUAGGGGAAACCAAUAGACCAUUCAAGUAUGACCUAAAUCAAAUCCCUUAUUAUUAUACAGUGGAAGUGAGAAAUAGAUUUAAGGGCCUAGAUCUGAUAGAGUGCCUGAUGAGCUAUGGAAUGAGGUUCGUGACAUUGUACAGGAGACAGGGAUCAAGACCAUCCCCAUGGAAAAGAAAUGCAAAAAAGCAAAAUGGCUGUCUGGGGAGGCCUUACAAAUAGCUGUGAAAAGAAGAGAAGCGAAAAGCAAAGGAGAAAAGGAAAGAUAUACACAUCUGAAUGCAGAGUUCCAAAGAAUAGCAAGAAGAGAUAAGAAAGCCUUCUUCAGCGAUCAAUGCAAAGAAACAGAGGAAAACAGAAUGGGAAAGACUAGAGAUCUCUUCAAGAAAAUUAGAGAUACCAAAGGAACAUUUCAUGCAAAGAUGGGCUCGAUAAAGGACAGAAAUGGUAUGGACCUAACAGAAGCAGAAGAUAUUAAGAAGAGAUGGCAAGAAUACACAGAAGAACUGUACAAAAAAGAUCUUCACGACCCAGAUAAUCACGAUGGUGUGAUCACUGACCUAGAGCCAGACAUCCUGGAAUGUGAAGUCAAGUGGGCCUUAGAAAGCAUCACUACGAACAAAGCUAGUGGAGGUGAUAGAAUUCCAGUUGAGCUAUUCCAAAUCCUGAAAGAUGAUGCUGUGAAAGUGCUGCAUUCAAUAUGCCAGCAAGUUUGGAAAACUCAGUAGUGGCCACAGGACUGGAAAAGGUCAGUUUUCAUUCCAAUCCCAAAGAAAGGCAAUGCCAAAGAAUGCUCAAACUACCACACAAUUGCACUCAUCUCACACACUAGUAAAGUAAUGCUCAAAAUUCUCCAAGCCAGGCUUCAGCAAUAUGUGAACC